AAAAAAUAACUCCAAAGCUUACAAGCCUUCAUGAGGUCCAUCAGCUACACAGAGAGCCAGACUUAACCUCGCAGUCUUCUUGACACGUACUGAAGGACGAGAAACUUAUUAUUAGUUUACACACUUAAAUUUGUAAAGCACAAAUACAGGAAAAGAAGAAGUUUGGACAAGUCUGCCAUCUUUAUUUCAGUUCUUCAGAUUACAAAAAUCACCACAAACAUGAAACGGGCUUUCCUGUUGAUGACUAUCAGCGUUCUGACAGUAUUCUUUUUGACAACUUGCCACGUUAAUCCAGUGUCAGCGGCUUACGACUGGUCACUCCGCAGUAGACCUAAAUGUGCUACUUUGGGUCAGUCGUGCAGAACCUGGUCGGCGCCAAGCUGUUGCUGGCACCUGAAAUGCAAGGCUUUUCGCUGUAGGAGGCGUUAGUUUGAUGCACUUGAUGAACAAAUCAUGAUCAACGUCAUAUUCAACGACAUACGAUUGAAUUCCAUUCCUAUAAAAAAAAACAAAAAAAACUGAUCUAUUCACAGAAUGUUAAUGCAUUUUUUAUGAGUUUUUAUUUCUUUGAUAUUUUUUACUCUCACUUCUUUCAUAUUUUGUAAUUAUUAAACGAUAUGGACAAAUAGAGUUAUUGUAAAAUGUA